rnacentral:rRNA from 1 species
AUGGCAGCAAACGUGGCGCUGCUCUCCGCCUCUUCGCCCUCCACCUCCGCCUCCUCCAUCCUCCGUCGCCACCCCCCGCCUCGCCGCUCCGCCUGCCCCCGGAGAGCAGCCUCCAGGCUAUCCGUCGUGGCUGCGAUGAGCGACGACCCGAUCAAGGAGUGGAUCCUCACCGAGGGGAAGGCCACCCAGAUCACAGGGACCAGCUCCAUUGGGGGUGGCUGCAUCAACGCCGCCCAGCGCUACGACACCGAUGCUGGCUCCUUUUUUGUGAAGACCAACAGGCGCAUCGGUCCAGCCAUGUUUGAAGGGGAGGCUCUGGGCUUGAAGGCAAUGUAUGACACCAAGUCAAUCCGUGUUCCUUUGCCAUACAAGGUUGGCUCGUUACCAACUGGUGGUUCUUUUAUCAUCAUGGAGUUUAUUCAGUUUGGUCGUUCUAGGGGUGACCAGGUAACCUUGUCCCGAAACCCCUUUCGUUCAAAGAAAAAGUCAGCUCUAGGGAGAAAGCUUGCUGAAAUGCAUAAAUCUGCAAAAUCUGACAAGGGCUAUGGCUUCUAUGUUGAAAAUACUAUUGGAAGCACUCCGCAAAUUAACACUUGGACUGCUGACUGGAUUGAGUUUUACUCGAAGCAUAGACUGGGAUACCAGUUGAAGUUGAUAUCGCAGCGGUUCGGAGAUUCAGCCAUAUAUGAAAAGGGUCAGCGAUUGAUUGAGAAAAUGCAUCUAUUGUUUGACGGUGCUGUUAUUGAGCCAUGCCUGCUUCAUGGAGAUUUAUGGAGUGGAAAUAUAAGCGCUGAUGCUAAUGGAGAUCCUGUAAUACUGGAUCCAGCAUGCUACUAUGGACAUAAUGAAGCAGAGUUUGGGAUGUCAUGGUGUGCUGGAUUCAGAGGGGAUUUCUACAGCUCCUAUUUCGAGGUGAUGCCGAAGCAGCCAGGCUUUGAGAAGAGGAGGGACCUGUAUCUCCUAUACCACUACCUGAAUCACUACAACCUUUUCGGCUCUGGGUACCGCUCCUCAGCUAUGUCCAUAAUCGACGACUACCUGCGGAUGCUGAAGGCGUAG